GGGAAACUUAGCCACUUUUGUUUUUUUACUGUGCUAGAGUAAUGUACUUGAAGUAUUUAAUUUAAAUAAUUUGUCAAGAGAAAAUAGGGCUUUAAGUGAAGCUGUGCCAACAACCCUGUCAGUCAGAUAGCCCAGAAUUACAUUUCCCUUCUGUCACACCUGCUCAUACCAAUGAGAUGGUAUGUCAGUUGCUAGGUGCACACCCAUAAU